AAAAAAUUAGCAAACAUGUCGGACAAUGAGGAUAUUGUUGCUGCCUUCGAGGAGCAGGCCAAUACCGAUACCAGUCCCGAUCCGGUGCCAGCUGCCGAUGCGGAGAGCAAAAGCAGCGUCGUUACGGAACGCACCGAGGAGAUAAUACCCGGCGAGAGCGAGAAAAUGGUCACCGAAACCAUCGAUGAGGAUGGCGAUGUGGUCGAGGAGACAACCGAAGUCACCCGCAAGACCGUUAAGCGUACCAUGAAAAUAACCGAGACUUCGUCCACCACAAAGACAACAACACUCACCACGCCGGCCAAGCUGUACGGCAAGGAUUUGAGCGAAUACGACGAUGUGGACGUGGAGAGCCUGUUGGCGCAGUUGUCACCCGAGGAGAUAACCAUACUGGCCAAAGAAGUUGAUCCCGAUGACAACUUCCUGCCGCCAGAUCAGCGCUGCAGCUACGAGUGCACCAAGGAUGCCACCGGGCCGCUGAAUCGCAAACAGCUCAUCGAGCAUAUUAACAAGCAAGCAAUUGAGACGCCCGAUCAGCCGGAGUUCGAGCCCUAUGUGCAGGGCAAGGUGCGCGGCAAGAAAUGGGUGCCACCGCCGCGUGAUGCCCGUGAUAUUGAGGCAGAGGAACAGAUCGCUAUUGACAUGGGCGAGGAGUAUGAGCAUGCGCUCAAUGAUGCCACGCAGGAGGAGAUUAUCGAUUUGGCUGCCAUUCUUGGCUUCCACUCGAUGAUGAAUCAGGAUCAGUACCAUGCCUCGCUGCUGAACAAGGGACAGCCGGUUGGCUUGGGCUGGGAUGGCAUCACAAAGUCCACACAGCAAAAGCUGUUCCCCAUGGAUCCGCCCAACAGCACAGAUGUUGAGGAGUCGAUUAAGCGCGUCAAGGAUGAUGAUUCCAAGCUGAUUGACCUGAACUUGAAUAACAUUAAGAAUAUAUCGGAUGAGAAGCUCGAACAACUCUUUGCCGCACUGCCUCAGAAUGAACAUUUGGAAGUUCUAUCGCUGACAAACGUCGGCCUGACCGAUAAGACAGCUCUCCUGCUCGCCGAAGCGAUCGAGAAAAGCAAAACCCUGAGAGUAUUAAAUGUUGAAACCAACUUUAUCAGUCCGCCCGUAAUUGUUACGCUCGUGCAAGCCCUGCUCAAAUGUCGCACCAUCGAGGAGUUCAGGGCCUCCAAUCAACGAUCUGCGGUGCUUGGCAACAAGAUUGAAAUGGAGAUCACCAAUUUGGUGGAGAAGAACUCGUCGCUUCUGCGACUUGGCUUGCAUCUGGAGUUCAACGAUGCGCGUCAUCGCGUGGCCGCCCAUCUGCAGCGCAACAUCGACAGAAUCUUCCGGGUGCAAAAACUUAAACCCAAUUUGCCCAAAUUGAUAUUGCCCAGCAACAUGGAGAUUGAACGUGAUCUGGCCCACUCGGCCACGCCCUCGCCGUCACCAUCGCCCUCACCGUCGCCACAGCCGCCGGCCGACUAUGAUGUGGAGGUCGAUCCCGAUAAUAUGGUUAUACGCGGCGGCGGCGGCGAUGCCUUUGAUCCAGAAAUCGAUCCCGAUAACAUGGUGGUGCCCGGCAGUCGGGCCGUGACGCCCAACUAUGAUGACGAGGGCGUCUAUCAAGCGCACACUAAGAAAAGAUCUUGAAUUACGCCUGCAGUUCAGAUUUUUCAAUAAUCUUCAUAGAAAAUCAACAAGAAUUCAAUAAAACCCCAAAUAAAAAAAUAAAUAAAAAACAAAAAUCAAAAAGCAACUAAACUAAACAUUUUUAAAGCGUUUUGUAAUUUAAAAAUUAAAAAACCGUAUAAAAAAAAACAAGUUUAAUCUAUGUAAAUUAAACGUGUAAACAAUAUAUAAAAAUAAAAACAAAAAACUAAAGAAAGAAGCAGCAGCUGCAAUGCUGGCAUCUAAAUACGUUAGAGAGACCAAGAAGUAAAUAAUAAAUAUAUACAUAUAUAUAUAUACAUACAUACAUACAUACACACACAUACUUAUAAUGCGCAGAACGAACCAGAGAUACAUAAAAAUAUGUAAAUACAAAUGUUGUAUGCAUAUCGACGAUACAAGCAUAUAUAGAGAGAAGAUAUAUUUGAAACUGAUUUACGACAAAAGUCAAGGCAUCUAACCCCAGCAACAAAAUCUUUAGGCGUAAUGUGUAUAAUUUUGUCUAAUCUCUAACACAGUACGUGUGAAUCGCCUCAAUCAGCGUAAAUAAAAAGACAAACCAACCAACCAACCAACCAACCAACAACAACAGCAACAACAACCUUUGUUUGUGUGUUAGCGCGUGUGUGUGUCUUUGUUUUUACUGUCCAACUAUGUACUAAUUAACAAGAACCAGCACCACCAACAACAACAUCAACAACAUCAACAACAACAACAACACCAUCUGAUGCAACUACAACAAGAGCAACUGCAACAAGUAUUCUCUGUGUUCAGCUCAACAACAAGUACAACAACAACAACAACAACAAUCAUCUUGUGAUUUUCCCCUCCUCCUGUUGACUGUUAAACACCGACCUCUGUGUAACCGCAACAACAACAACAGCAAGAACAAGCACAAUACCACCCAAACGACCCACACCCAACAACCAGCCGCAAAACUAACACCGAAGAAUGAUGUUAACAUGCAUUGGUCGCCAGCGUCGCAUGGGUCAUCUGACCAGGAACUAUACCAUUGGUGCUUGGCCGUAGGCACCGAGACUUUUUGGCAUCGUCUAUCAUAUACUCAAAUAUCUACACAUGAUAUACAUGCUUAUAUGAACCACAUAUAGUUAAUAUAUAUAUCAUACUUGUUGUUGUUGUUUUACAAAAGUUGUGCUACUCAUUGGUCGCUCAAUUCUUUUGUUUCAAUGUUUGUUGCGUUCUAUAUAAUUUAAUUAUAAUUAUUAUUAUUUUUUGGGCCAGAUAUGGGCCUUGUGUUCGUUUAUCAUAUAAACCUAAUCAUUUGUUUGUUAUUUGAGUAAUGCGAUUGUUUGUUGUCAAACACACACACACACACACACGUAUAUAUGUACAUCUACACACACAAGCAAAUUUAAAUUAAUUUUAUCUAGAAAUUGACAUUGUUAAAAAUUUACAAUUACCAAAUCGAAGCAGCUUAAUUGAUUAUCGAGUUGUCACCUUAAAAAAAAAAGAAAAUGUUUUCCUUAAACAAUUGUCAAUUUUGGAUUGUUCAGAUUUUUACGCUGCCGCUUCACACGCGCCCCCUUUUUUCAAAUUGUAAUUUUAAAACUACUUUUUUGUUGUUGUUUAUAUUCGGUUAAAUUCAAAAUUUAAUUUGUUUUACUUCGCUUAGUUUUUAAAGAGUGCACAUGGAAAGUGCUUGAGCUUAUAUUUACAUGCAUACACAUACAUAUAUAAUACUUAUAUAUACAUAUAUAUAAAUAAAUAUAUAUAUAUAUUCAUAUUCAUAUAUGAUACAUAUACAUAUA